AUCGAGCUAUUCGGACUUGAGUAACUAAUAUUGAAAGAUUAAUCGCGGGCCGUAUGUUGGCCAUGCCUGCCCUAGAGGCAGAUGUCGGAUUAGGUGGGCAGACCAAGUAAUGAUGAUUACAGGGCAUACAAUGUAUGAAGCCAUCCACAUGGCACAACACCGGGAGCAGUGGAAAGAGAUACAAUUAAAGCCAUCAAUUCGUAAUAUCACCAUUCCCUUUGAAGGGCAUAGGACUAAGAAGAAUUCAAACCAAACUUGAACUUUCAUAAACUUGUACUAUGCUUUGUUUUGCAUUAUUUAUUUAAAAAAAUACAAAUAUCGAAGAAUAAAAAGGAAGUAUCAAUAGAAUAAAAUUACUUUUUUAAAUUAGUGUCAUUGAUAAAGUUUGCUGGACAAAGGUAUUGAAACUUUUUCAAAUGGAUUUCCAUUAAAAAUUAGUGGUGACCACAUUAAUUCCUUCUGUAAUGUACACUAGUGUACAUUACAGAAGGAAAAACAUCAGCUAAGGAAAUCUACAAAAUAUCUCUUCUUAAAUGAAGUUAAGACUAUUUACAAAAAUAUAAAAUAUUCUUCAAAAAGAAAAAAACCCAUGUUGACUGUUACUUCUGGGGUGGUGUAAAAAAGGAUUAAGAUAGACUCAAAAAUUUUAUAUUUUUGUAAAUAGUCUUAACUUCAUUUAAGAAGAAAUAUAAAAAUCCUGAGUAAUUACAGAAAUUGUAUCUACAAAAUAUAUUAACUCAUACUAUUCCAGGCUAAAAGAAUGUCAUCUAUAUACCUUAGAUAUACAGUAGUAAGAGGUAAUAGAUGGAAAGUGAUACCACGAACAGUCUAAAUUCUAUCUUUCUCACUAUCAACUCCAACAAAACAGCUAACAUCAGAGAAAUAAUAGGAACAUCUAGCUUUUGUAGCAUUCUUUGAAGUGUCACCUUAUUGAAGACAAAGAUUUUUAGCAUGACAAUGCAAUUGCUAAAGAAUGUAUGGUGAAUAUUUUAGAGUGAAGCAGUGUUUUUUGAAUAAUAAUCCAUCAUACUUAGCAUUUGCCUGAUUGCUAUUGGAUUCAGAUCAGUGCUUCUUAAACUAUGGGUCAUGACCCCAUGUGUAACAGAAUUUGAAGGUCACGAAAACUCAACUGUUUGAAAAGGAUAUUGCUUUAACCUGAAAUGUUCCUGUUAGAUUCUCCAA